UCAAAAGUGAACCUAUGUUUCAGCCUUUCCACAUUCUGUUUCAAAAAUAAGUUAGUCACUAUGACAAGAGAUUCAGAACUCUCUGUUUGGAUUCCAAUAUAUAAUUUUGAUGGAUAUAAUCAUUCCAUUUUCUUGGUAUGUAUGUAAAAGCGGAUUUCUUUAUAAGAGUUUCACUCUUGUUACCAAGGCUGGAGUGCAAUGGUACGAUCUUGGCUCACCACAACCUCCACCUCCUGGGUUCAAGCAAUUCUCCUGCCUCAGCCUCCUGAGUAGCUGUGACUACAGGCACGCGCCACCUUGCCCAGCUAAUUUGUGUGCGUGUGUGUGUGUUUUAGUAGAGACGGGGUUUCACCAUGUUGACCAGGAUGAUCUCGAUCUCUUGACCUCGUGAUCCACCUGCUUCGGCCUCCCUAAGUGCUGGGAUUACAGGUGUGAAGUCAUAAAACCGAGUGGAGGAGGGACAGAAAAUGCUGAUUUUUCCUAAUUAACCAUAAAAGGAAUAUAUCUAAUAUCCUGGUAAAUUCAAAAUCCUGAUUAAAGAAAGAAAUAGGCUUCAUUUUCACAAUUUCUUCUAAUCAACAAUAAGAAAGCAAAUCAUAUCCCUCAGUAUCACUGACCAAAACAUAAUACUGUCAUCAAUUUUGAUGAAUAUAUUGGCUGUAUUGGAAGCUGUUGGAGAGUAGAAAAAUCUAUAUCACUAGAGGGCUUUUGUGUUCAAGUUGACUUUCCAAAUUUAGCAAUAAAAAGACUAAAAAGAGCUAUCAUUUCACCUAUUAUGACUAUUCUUUCCAUUUAUAAUCAAGAAUGUUGCAAGAUGCUGGAAAAAGGGUCACUAUUCUUGUUCCUUGGAAUGCAUUCUUACUAAAGUGCAAGGCUUCUGGAACUUUUAUUUUGCACAACGCUUUGGGCGAAAAUCAUUCUGAAAAGAAAAUAAUUCUGCCCCUCUGCUUCUGUAUAUUUUAUGAACAUUCUACCACCAUAGUAUCAAAGAAUGAGAGUGCGUUCAUGAUUAAGAAGGAAAUAAAAGACAUCAUGACAAGUACACACACAAAAAAAAUAAGUACAUUUUGAAUUGAAAUGUAAAAAGUGAUCACAUGCUAAUAUAAGACUUUUCAGUGUGGCAAUAGCAAAUAUUAAUAUUUAUAAUGUUUUUCUCUGCCUAAAGCACACUUCCUCUGUACUGAACUGUUCUUUUAACAAUUUAUAUGUUCAACUUUAUAUUUUUUUUGUGAUUGAUUGAGGAAAUAUGGAAGAACUGGAUGUUUAUUUACCUCAAGUUGUAUCUCUAACUUCUUGCAUUACUCAUUAUUAACAAAAUUUGGCAACACUAACACAGAAAACAAACAAAUGAACAAAAAAUGAAUUAAAUGUUCUUUUGUAAAACACAAAGGGAACUGUUACAGAUAUGGUCACAUUCAAUACUUCGUUUUCUCAAUGAGGGUGGAUUCUGUCUGUUAAAUGAGUAGCCACACAGAUUAUUAUCCACUUGAAUACUGAGGAAAACUUUGAUCCAAGACACUGAUUAUCUUUAGGAUGCUGCAAAGAAUCAAACAAACUCCUGUCAUUAAUCCUGACUUGCUUACAAGUUUUACAAAAUUUACAGUUUACUAGGAUAUGUCUGGGACACUUAGAAAACAGGAAUGAAUUUCAUUUUCACUACUGUAUUUGAGACACUCAGGGGAAACAAUAGUGAAAACGAAUUUCAGCAGUCAGUUGGCCAACUACAUAAUUUAAUGCCGAAAACAAAAAGAAAUUAUAGGUUCUAUCUUGUACAGGCAGCAUUUGUUUUUCUCUUAUUUUCAUUAUAUUAAAGCCAUGGAUUUUGUUCCCACUUUAGGGAGAAAAUGUAUAUAUGGGUCAAAAUCCCAUGUUCUUCACCAGUAUUAAGUAAACAUUUAUGUAUAGGUACUGAUUUCCAUAUUGGUAGCCAUAUCCUCGAGGCCAACCAGCUCAUCAAUGAAUAUCUUAUUAACAAAAAUGGUUUGUUUUCUGAAAAUUGUAAGUAGUUUCUGUCUACACACAUUAUCCUUAGCUGCAACUCCACCUAAACACAUUGUAUUUCCACUUCCACUUCCUUCUCCAUGAGCAUGUGCCCUGUGCAGUCCCAUAGGGGCCCGUUUUAGAAGGACCCCACACUUAAUAUAAUACUCUGCUGUAGGCAUACUCAAGUUUUUAAUAAUCUUUGGAUUUUCAUUUUCCACUGGGUUGCACAAAUUAUGUAGCUCGUCCUUAGGGUAUUAGAUUAUUUUUACAAACUACAAUUCUGGUACUUUCACUGUGUGUCCAAAUCUGUCAAAUAAACUCCUAAAUGACA